UGGGGAAUAUUGCACAAUGGUGGGAACUCUGAUGCAGCGACGCCGCGUGAACGAAGAAGGCUUUCGAGUCGUAAAGUUCUUUUAUAUGGGAAGAUAAUGACGGUACCAUAAGAAAAAGCCCCGGCUAACUACGUGCCAGCAGCCGCGGUAAUACGUAGGGUGCUAGCGUUGUCCGGAAUCACUGGGCGUAAAGGGUUCGCAGGCGGAAAUGCAAGUCAGGUGUAAAAGGCAGUAGCUUAACUACUGUAAGCAUUUGAAACUGCAUAUCUUGAGAAGAGUAGAGGUAAGUGGAAUUUUUAGUGUAGCGGUGAAAUGCGUAGAUAUUAAAAAGAAUACCGGUGGCGAAGGCGACUUACUGGGCUCAUUCUGACGCUGAGGAACGAAAGCGUGGGUAGCAAACAGG
rnacentral:rRNA from 1 species